AACCUAGCACACCUGCGGUGUGUACCUGCGGAGGGAUCAUUACUGAGUGUAAAAACUCCCAAACCCACUGUGAACAUACCACUGUUGCUUCGGCGGAUGCGCCCCGGGCGCGCCCUACAAAGGCGUGCCCCGGAUCAAGGCCACCGCCGGGGGACCGAAACUCUUGUUUUCCUAAGGAUUCUCUGAGUGUGAUUAUUAAAUCAAAUCAAAACUUUCAGCAACGGAUCUCAGAUCGGAAGA
rnacentral:misc_RNA from 1 species